ensembl:snRNA U4 U4 spliceosomal RNA
AUUCUUGCGCAGUGGCAGUAUUGUAGCCUAUGAGGUUUAUCCGAGGCGCGAUUAUUGCUAGUUGAAAACUUUACCCAAUAUCCCUGCUUAUCAGACAAGCAUUGAUAAACGUGUUAAGCAAGUUGUGGAAAGUAACAGUGCU